GAUGAACGCUGGCGGCGUGCUUAACACAUGCAAGUCGAACGAUGAAGCCCAGCUUGCUGGGUGGAUUAGUGGCGAACGGGUGAGUAACACGUGAGUAACCUGCCCUUGACUCUGGGAUAAGCCUGGGAAACUGGGUCUAAUACUGGAUAUGACUUCUCAUCGCAUGGUGGGGGGUGGAAAGAUUUAUUGGUCUUGGAUGGACUCGCGGCCUAUCAGCUUGUUGGUGAGGUAAUGGCUCACCAAGGCGACGACGGGUAGCCGGCCUGAGAGGGUGACCGGCCACACUGGGACUGAGACACGGCCCAGACUCCUACGGGAGGCAGCAGUGGGGAAUAUUGCACAAUGGGCGCAAGCCUGAUGCAGCGACGCCGCGUGAGGGAUGACGGCCUUCGGGUUGCAAACCUCUUUCAGUAGGGAAGAAGCGAGAGUGACGGUACCUGCAGAAGAAGCGCCGGCUAACUACGUGC
rnacentral:rRNA from 1 species